GCCCUACGGGGCGCAGCAGGCGCGAAAACUUUACAAUGCGAGAAAUCGUGAUAAGGGAACCCCGAGUGCCCGUAAAUUCGGGCUGUCCGCCAGUGCAAAAAACUGGCGAAGAAAGAGCCGGGCAAGACCGGUGCCAGCCGCCGCGGUAACACCGGCGGCUCGAGUGGUGGUCACUAUUACUGGGCUUAAAGCGUCCGUAGCUUGGUUGUUAAGUCUCUUGGGAAAUCCACCGGCUCAACCGAUGGGCGUCAGGAGAUACUGGCAACCUAGGGACCGGGAGAGGUGAGGGGUACUCCAGGGGUAGGAGUGAAAUCCUGUAAUCCUUGGGGGACCACCUGUGGCGAAGGCGUCUCACUAGAACGGCUCCGACAGUGAGGGACGAAAGCUGGGGGAGCAAACCGGAUUAGAUACCCGGGUAGUCCCAGCUGUAAACGAUGCGCGUUAGGUGUAUCGGUGACCACGAGUCACCGAGGUGCCGAAGGGAAACCGUGAAACGUGCCGCCUGGGAAGUACGGUCGCAAGGCUGAAACUUAAAGGAAUUGGCGGGGGAGCACCACAACAGGUGGAGCCUGCGGUUUAAUCGGACUCAACGCCGGGAAGCUCACCGGAU
rnacentral:rRNA from 1 species